GAUGAACGCUGGCGGCGUGCUUAACACAUGCAAGUCGAACGGAAAGGCCCUUGCUUGCAGCGCUCCUCGAGUGGCGACCGGGUGAGUAACACGUGGGUGAUCUACCCCUCACUUCGGGAUAAGCCUGGGACACUGGGUCUCAUACCGGCUAGGACCUACCUCUUGUGUCGGUGGUGGAAAGUUUUUUCGGUGUGGGAUGAGUUCGCGGCUCGUCAGCUUGUUGGUGGGGUAUUGGCCUACCAAGGCGUCGACGGGUCGCCGGCCUGGGAGGGGGUACGGCCACGUUAGGACGGGGAUGCGGCACAGACUCGAACGGGAGGCAGGGGUGGAGUAUAGUGCACAAGGGGCGGAAGGCUAGUGCAGCGACGCAGCGUGGGGGAUGACGGCCAUCGGGUAGGAAUGUCAUUUCGUCAGGGACGAAGCGAAAAUGACAGUACCGGGAGAAGAAGCACCGGCUAACUACGUG
rnacentral:rRNA from 1 species